UUAUUGUUUAACUAUGGCAAGAGGAAAUUAUAUAGUGACUUAGCUGCAUAAAUUACUUGUUUGCUGUAUGCUUUAAGAUUUUUUUUGCGAUAAUUAGCAGCUAGUAUUUUGGUAGAAUUGACGUUUUCUAGGAUGUCACUAUAAAAAAGGGGAUAGGACACAGUGCCAGCAUCCGCGGUUAAUCUGUUUUCUUUGUUUUCGGUUGAAUAAACGUUUGAGCAGUUAUUGACAAAGUUAGGUGAAAUUUUUUUGUUUUUACUCUUUAUGCUCAGAUUGUGCUGAGGUAGUGUUUUGCAACAGGGAUUAGAUACCCCACUAGCAACUACUGUAUAAUUUUUAGUUUUGCAACUAAAAUAGUUUGGCAGCGAGUUACUCCUAUCGGGGGAAGGUGUGUUAUAAAGGACGAUCCGCCAAUCACUUAACCUGUGCUAUGUUGGUGUAUAUCUGGUUUGAUAUUAUUGCUUAAUAGCUUGAAUUUGUGUAAAUUAUCUUUAAGCCAAGUCUAUGUGCUGCUUGUAUAGGGUUUCAUGCGUUACUAUUAUAAUAAGUCUUAUGAAAUUAUGAUUUUUUCAGGACUCGCAAGUAAGAUAGAAUUAGGUUGUCUGUCUGAAUAAGGUUUAACUCGGGUACACACCGCCCGUCACCCUCGGCAUGUGUUGAGGUAAGUCGUAACAUGGUAGCCCUAAAUGAAUUUGGGGUUAAUUGGCA
rnacentral:rRNA from 2 species